UACGGAGGGUGCAAGCGUUAUCCGGAUUCACUGGGUUUAAAGGGUGCGUAGGUGGGCUGGUAAGUCAGUGGUGAAAUCUCCAGGCUUAACUUGGAAACUGCCAUUGAUACUAUUAGUCUUGAAUACCGUGGAGGUCAGCGGAAUAUGUCAUGUAGCGGUGAAAUGCUUAGAUAUGACAUAGAACACCAAUUGCGAAGGCAGCUGGCUACACGAAUAUUGACACUGAUGCACGAAAGCGUGGGGAUCAAAACAGGG
rnacentral:rRNA from 1 species